rfam:Ictidomys tridecemlineatus contig089363, whole genome shotgun sequence.
GUGGUUGUGGCUCAGUGGUAGAGUGCUUUUCUAGCACAUAUGAGGCACUGGGUUUGAUCCUCAGCACCACA